rnacentral:rRNA from 1 species
GAGACAGUUUGGUCCCUAUCUGCCGUGAUUGUAGGAGAAUUGAGAGGAUUUGUCCUUAGUACGAGAGGACCGGGAUGAACGCACCUCCGGUGGACCUGUUAUCGCGCCAGCGGUACAGCAGGGUAGCUAUGUGCGGACGGAAUAACCGCUGAAGGCAUCUAAGCGGGAAAUCCACCUCGAAACCAUUUCUCCCUUGAGAACCGUGGAAGACGACCACGUUGAUAGGCCAGGUGUGGAAGCGCCGUAAGGCGUGAAGCUUACUGGUACUAAUCGUUCGAACGGCUUGAUCGUUCUCAUUUU